GACGAACGCUGGCGGCGUGCUUAACACAUGCAAGUCGAACGGGAUCCAAAGGCUUUUUGUUUUUGGUGAGAGUGGCGAACGGGUGAGUAACACGUGAGUAACCUGCCCCCUUCUUUUGGAUAACCGCAUGAAAGUGUGGCUAAUACAGGAUAUUCCGGGCUGGUCGCAUGAUUGGUUUGGGAAAUGGUUUGGUCUGGUGGGGGAUGGGCUCGCGGCCUAUCAGCUUGUUGGUGGGGUGAUGGCCUACCAAGGCGGUGACGGGUAGCCGGCCUGAGAGGGUGGGCGGUCACACUGGGACUGAGAUACGGCCCAGACUCCUACGGGAGGCAGCAGUGGGGGAUUUUGCACAAUGGGCGCAAGCCUGAUGCAGCGACGCCGCGUGAGGGAUGAAGGCCUUCGGGUUGUAAACCUCUUUCGCUGGGUUGAAAGGCCAUGCUUUGGGUGUGGUUGAUUUGAACUGGUAAAGAAGUACCGGCUAACUACGUG
rnacentral:rRNA from 1 species